AGUUAAGGAAGGCAGUCUAAGUGCGCGACGUCCUGUCGCGACGACUGCAUGACCAACAUCCUGUUGG
rfam:Sporosarcina sp. HYO08 scaffold_3, whole genome shotgun sequence.